CUGUGACAUCUUUGCUUUUGAUUCAUUGGUCUGGCGCCGACAACCAAAUCUGUCUUUGGCCUCUUGUCCCUCUCUCUUUCUCGUUCUCACCCAAUUUAUAAAAGAAGCAAUAAACUACUGUAUCGGGAUGAUGGUUUUCCCAUUUUCCCACAGUGCAAAUUGCAGAGAAAAAGAAAACAACUUCACUAAUUUACAAGUUACAACAACUGGCUGACGACAUCGUCUGCGUCACCCUAGCCCAGCUGGGAUCGCUGAUGCCAUCUCAAUCGUCACCAAAGCGACUUCAUCUCCUCUAACGAAAUUUCUCUCCUUCUUCUUACUCUCAAACCUCUCUCUCUCUGUUCUCUGACUCUGUUGCUUUGAAAACGAAAAAUGAAAUUUCGGACCCUCAUUCGGACUUGGAUAUGACUCGUACCCUUUUGCAUCCCAUCUCUCUGUUGUUGUCCUCUUUCCUCUUUGUCGUCAAUCUUGGGAUGUGGUAUUUCUGAGUGGUUGAUAUGGUUGAAAGUUUGCUUCUUUUUCUUGUGGGAAAUUUUGGGUUUUUGUCACAAUUGUCCUAAGAUACGUCCUUCUUUGGUUUUAACUUGUUAUCUUCAUCUGGGUUUUGAAAAUCAGGUCUUUACCAUAUCAAUCAUCAGGAUCACAAGAGCUUGUGUUCUUAGAAUUAGAAAGCGUUUGGGGUCUUAUUCUUCAAGGGCUAUAGCUAGUUUAGAUGUUAAUAUCUUCAAUCAAUGGGUUAUGUGAUUAAGCUUGACGCUGAUACAUCCUAGGCUCCACCUAUAGGUCUGAAGUAGAUUAAUGGCUAAUUCAUCUGAACCAUCAUCCUCUUUAAGCUUUACUUCAUCAUCCCAUAUAUCUAAUGGUUCAAUAAGCCACAACUUUUCUUCCUCUGGUUCUGAAUCCGUGCCUAGUCUUGAAGUCAUCAGUUUGAGCAAGCUUAGUUCUAAUUUGGAGCAGCUCUUGGUUGAUUCUGGCUGUGAUUAUAGUGAUGCUGAUAUCAUAGUUGAGGGGAUUUCUGUUGGCGUUCACCGAUGUAUAUUGGCUUCUAGGAGUAGUUUUUUCUGCGAUCUAUUCAAGCAAAAAAAGGGGUCUUCUGGGAAGGAAAGCAGACCAAAGUACUGUAUGAGUGAUUUGCUGCCUUAUGGCGAUGUUGGAUAUGAAGCCUUCUUGGUUUUUUUGAGCUAUGUGUAUACUGGAAAGUUGAAGCCUUCUCCCAUGGAGGUGUCAACCUGUGUUCACAAUGUAUGUGCCCAUGAUGCUUGUAGACCUGCUAUUAAUUUCGUCGUGGAGUUGAUGUACGCUUCUUCCAUUUUCCAAAUGCCUGAUCUGGUUUCGAUAUUCCAGCGACGCCUUCUUAAUUUUGUUGGGAAAGCUCUGGCAGACGAUGUUAUCCCAAUCCUUGUAGUUGCUUUCCAUUGUCAGUUGAGUCAGCUCAUCGCUCAGUGUAUAGAGAGAGUGGCACGAUCGGAUAUUGAUAGCAUCUCGCUUGAGAAGGGACUUCCUGAUGAGGUUAUUGAGAAAAUUAAAAUUCUUCGCCGCAAUUCUCAGCAAGACUGUGACCCAAACAUGCCAGCAGUGGACCCUUUGCAUGAAAAGAGAAUCAGGAGAAUACAUAAGGCGUUGGACUCAGAUGAUGUUGAACUUGUGAAACUUCUUUUAAAGGAGUCUGCUAUAACCUUAGAUGAAGCCAAUGCUCUCCAUUAUGCUGCGGCUUACUGCGAUCCUAAGGUUGUGACUGAAGUGCUUGGUCUGGGUCUAGCUGAUGUUAACCUCCGGAAUUCUCGGGGUUACACAGUACUUCACAUUGCUGUGAUGCGCAAAGAGCCAUCAAUUAUAGUAUUGCUUCUGACUAAAGGAGCUCGUGCAUCAGAGCUGACAUCAGAUGGUCAGAGUGCUGUUAGUAUUUGCCGGAGGUUGACAAGGCCAAAGGAUUAUCAUUCAAAAACAGAGCAGGGGCAAGAAGCAAACAAGGACCGAAUAUGCAUUGAUGUUCUAGAGAGGGAAAUGCGUAGGAAUCCAAUGGCUGGAGUUACAUCAAUAUCUUCCCAAAUAAUGCCUGAUGAUCUGCACAUGAAAUUGCUGAACCUGGAGAAUAGAGUGGCAUUUGCACGAUUGUUAUUCCCGGCUGAAGCCAAGCUAGCUAUGGUCAUUGCCCAUGCUGAGACAACCUCUGAGUUUGCUGGGCGCUCUUCAUCGAAAGGCUCAAGUGGGAAUUUGAUGGAGGUUGAUUUAAAUGAGACUCCCACUGUGCAGAACAAAAGACUCCAUUCUAGGUUGGAAGCCCUAAUGAAAACAGUCGAUUUGGGUAGAUUCUAUUUCCCUCAUUGCUCGGAAGUCCUGGAUAAGUUCAUUGAGGACGACCUUCCUGAUUUGUUCUACCUUGAGAUGGGCACCUCUGACGAGCAGAAAAUAAAGAGGGUGCGUUUCAUGGAGCUUAAGGAGGAAGUACACAAGGCCUUUAACAAGGACAAGGCUGAGUUGAACCUUUCUGGGUUGUCUUCAUCAUCCUCCACGUCGUCUCCGAAAAAACUUGGUGCAACUCAAAAAGUUAGGAAAUUGUGAGGGCAUGUAAAUUGUAUCUAUUAAGCCUUCCGAGUACGAACAAAUUUUUUUUUGUUUGUUUCAAGGUUACUGACAGAAGCUUAGUAAGUUUUGGCUAUUCUUAUCAGUAAAAUCUUGGCAGAUGCGAAUUGCCCUGUUAACUACACGAACUAUGAUAGCCGCAGAUUAGUCGAUUUGGGUAAGUGACACGUGUUUAGAAGGUAUGUAAAAGUUUCUUUGUACAUGAAAACCAACUCGCUAUUGGAAAAUGAAAGAUUAUCACCAAACAAAGCAGAAUACGAACAGAAGUUCACAUUAAUGAAUUUACAGAGAAAUGCUUAAUACAGAGUCAGUGAGCAUGGAGGCGUCAGCCUGUGUUCAUUCAAACACUUCACCAACAAGUUGAUGUAGAGAUGCGCAUAAGGGUCUUUUGGAUGAA